CUACGGAGGGUGCAAGCGUUAAUCGGAAUUACUGGGCGUAAAGCGUACGUAGGCGGUUCGUUAAGUUAGAUGUGAAAGCCCCGGGCUUAACCUGGGAACUGCAUUUAAAACUGGCGAACUAGAGUUGAAUAGAGGGGAGUGGAAUUUCAGGUGUAGCGGUGGAAUGCGUAGAGAUCUGAAGGAACACCAGUGGCGAAGGCGACUCCCUGGACUCAAACUGACGCUGAGGUACGAAAGCGUGGGUAGCAAACGGAAUUAGAAACCCUAGUAGUCC
rnacentral:rRNA from 1 species